rnacentral:rRNA from 1 species
CAGUAGCCGCGGUAAUACAGAGGAUGCAAGCGUUAUCCGGAAUGAUUGGGCGUAAGGCGUCUGUAGGUGGCUUUUCAAGUCCGCCGUCAAAUCCCAGGGCUCAACCCUGGACAGGCGGUGGAAACUACCAAGCUAGAGUACGGUAGGGGCAGAGGGAAUUUCCGGUGGAGCGGUGAAAUGCGUUGAGAUCGAAAAGAACACCAACGACGAAAGCACUCUGCUGGGCCGACACUGACACUGAGAGACGAAAGCUAGGGGAGUAAAUGGGAUUAGAUACCCGGGUAGUCCCUGUCUCUUAUAC